CCUACGGGAGGCAGCAGUGGGGGAUAUUGCGCAAUGGGGGCAACCCUGACGCAGCAACGCCGCGUGAAGGAUGAAGGUUUUCGGAUUGUAAACUUCUUUUCUCGGGGACGAAAUCUGACGGUACCUGAGGAAUAAGCUCCGGCUAACUACGUGCCAGCCGCCGCGGUAAU
rnacentral:rRNA from 1 species